GAUGAACGCUGGCGGCGUGCCUAAUACAUGCAAGUCGAGCGAACGGACGAGAAGCUUGCUUCUCUGAUGUUAGCGGCGGACGGGUGAGUAACACGUGGAUAACCUACCUAUAAGACUGGGAUAACUUCGGGAAACCGGAGCUAAUACCGGAUAAUAUUUUGAACCGCAUGGUUCAAAAGUGAAAGACGGUCUUGCUGUCACUUAUAGAUGGAUCCGCGCUGCAUUAGCUAGUUGGUAAGGUAACGGCUUACCAAGGCAACGAUGCAUAGCCGACCUGAGAGGGUGAUCGGCCACACUGGAACUUGGCCACGGUCCAGGCUCCUACGGGAGGCAGCAGUAGGGAAUCUUCCGCAAUGGGCGAAAGCCUGACGGAGCAACGCCGCGUGAGUGAUGAAGGUCUUCGGAUCGUAAAACUCUGUUAUUAGGGAAGAACAUAUGUGUAAGUAACUGUGCACAUCUUGACGGUACCUAAUCAGAAAGCCACGGCUAACUACGUG
rnacentral:rRNA from 1 species